rnacentral:rRNA from 1 species
GAUGAACGCUGGCGGCGUGCCUAAUACAUGCAAGUCGAGCGAACGGACGAGAAGCUUGCUUCUCUGAUGUUAGCGGCGGACGGGUGAGUAACACGUGGAUAACCUACCUAUAAGACUGGGAUAACUUCGGGAAACCGGAGCUAAUACCGGAUAAUAUUUUGAACCGCAUGGUUCAAAAGUGAAAGACGGUCUUGCUGUCACUUAUAGAUGGAUCCGCGCUGCAUUAGCUAGUUGGUAAGGUAACGGCUUACCAAGGCAACGAUGCAUAGCCGACCUGAGAGGGUGAUCGGCCACACUGGAACUGAGGCACGGUCCAGACUCCUACGGGAGGCAGCAGGAGGGAAUCUUCCGCAAUGGGCGAAAGCCUGACGGAGCAACGCCGCGUGAGUGAUGAAGGUCUUCGGAUCGUAAAACUCUGUUAUUAGGGAAGAACAUAUGUGUAAGUAACUGUGCACAUCUUGACGGUACCUAAUCAGAAGGCCACGGCUAACUACGU